rnacentral:rRNA from 1 species
AUUGAACGCUGGCGGCAUGCCUAACACAUGCAAGUCGAACGAGUAGCGGACGGGUGAAUAAUGUCUGGGAAACUGCCUGAUGGAGGGGUAUAACUACUGGAAACGGUAGCUAAUACCGCAUACCAUCGGAUGUGCCCAGAUGGGAUUAGCUAGUAGGUGGGGUAACGGCUCACCUAGGCGACGAUCCCUAGCUGGUCUGAGAGGAUGACCAGCCACACGGGAACUGAGACACGGUCCAGACUCUUACGGGAGGCAGCAGGAGGGAAUAUUGCACAAUGGGCGCAAGCCUGAUGCAGCAAUGCCGCGUGUAUGAAGAAGGCUUUCGGGUUGUAAAGUACUUUCAGCGGGGAGGCGUUACCCGCAGAAGAAGCACCGGCUAACUCCGUGCCAGCAGCCGCGGUAAUAC